GAUUCUGACCCCUUGUAAAUGUUACAUGUUUUAGUCUGGUUUAUUUAAUAGAUUUUAAUGUGUUAUUAAAUUGUACUUAUUUUUUUAAAUUAAUUUUCAAAAGCACUGCCCUUGUUUAAAACAAGUUCAUUUCAGUCAAUUAAAAGUAAUUAGAAAAAAAUAUUUAAAAUUUAAUUUCCACAUACUAUCUGGUCUGCGCAUGUGCAGACACAUGCCGCCACUUUGUUCUGAAGGCGCGGAUUGAACGUUAUCCACUCGUUAGUAGCUCCUUGAAUGCUGUAUCCAUAGCUCUACAUUUUCGGUCUUUCUCAUAUCUGAUAUAUCUGAUCUUGGUGUGAUGUGG